AUAUCCUCACCCUAGCAGGGAGGAGAGAAGUCCAGGGAAGCAAAGUGACUUGCUCAAGGGCACUCAGCAAGCCCUUGCUAAGGUUCAUAGCCUUCUAUGAAGAGUGUGGAAGAAUCACAACAAUGAAGAGAAGAUAUGUUUCUUGGGGAGCAUGUUCAAUCUAAUUCAAGUAGAUACAUAGAGUCGUGAAGAUAAAUUCUGAUCACACCGCAUUCUGGUCAUCAUUACCUAGUUGAAGAGGUUUAUUGGAGAAGAACUAUCAGUGUUUUAAAGCAGUGGUCUUCAAAUGGGGGCACACAAAGACUUUCC
rnacentral:lncRNA from 1 species